rnacentral:rRNA from 1 species
CCAGCCCGCUCAGAACUCAAGGAAGUUGACGGGGCCCGCACAAGCGGUGGAGUAUGUGGUUUAAUUCGAUGCAACGCGAAGAACCUUACCUGGUCUUGACAUCCCGGAGACCCUUAGGAAACUAGGGGGUGCUUCCAUCUGGAAGAAUCUGGAGACAGGUGCUGCAUGGCUGUCGUCAGCUCGUGUCGUGAGAUGUUGGGUUAAGUCCCGCAACGAGCGCAACCCUUGCCUUUAGUUGCCAGCAGUUCGGCUGGGCACUCUAAAGGGACUGCCGGUGUUAAACCGGAGGAAGGUGGGGAUGACGUCAAGUCCUCAUGGCCUUUAUGACCAGGGCUACACACGUACUACAAUGGCCGAUACAAAGGGCAGCGACACUGCGAGGUGAAGCCAAUCCCGUAAAAUCGGUCUCAGUCCGGAUUGGAGUCUGCAACUCGACUCCAUGAAGUUGGAAUCGCUAGUAAUCGUGGAUCAGCAUGCCACGGUGAAUACGUUCCCGGGCCUU